rnacentral:rRNA from 1 species
GAUGAACGCUGGCGGCGUGCCUAAUACAUGCAAGUCGAGCGAACGGACGAGAAGCUUGCUUCUCUGAUGUUAGCGGCGGACGGGUGAGUAACACGUGGAUAACCUACCUAUAAGACUGGGAUAACUUCGGGAAACCGGAGCUAAUACCGGAUAAUAUUUUGAACCGCAUGGUUCAAAAGUGAAAGACGGUCUUGCUGUCACUUAUAGAUGGAUCCGCGCCGCAUUAGCUAGUUGGUAAGAUAACGGCUUACCAAGGCAACGAUGCAUAGCCGACCUGAGAGGGUGAUCGGCCACACUGGAACUGAGACACGGUCCAGACUCCUACGGGAGGCAGCAGUAGGGAAUCUUCCGCAAUGGGCGAAAGCCUGACGGAGCAACGCCGCGUGAGUGAUGAAGGUCUUCGGAUCGUAAAACUCUGUUAUUAGGGAAGAACAUAUGUGUAAGUAACUGUGCACAUCUUGACGGUACCUAAUCAGAAAGCCACGGCUAACUACGUG